rnacentral:RNase_P_RNA from 1 species
AGAGUUGACCGGGUGAACGCGGAACGCGCGGGAGCGCGGGACGAGGAAAGUCCGAGCGCCGCAGGGCAGGGUGCCGGUGAAAUGCCGGUGGAGGCGACUUCAAGGAAAGUGCAACAGAAAUAAACCGCGGAGCCGUUCCGCAACAGGGGCGGCCGCAAGGGUGGAAAGGCGGGGCAAGAGCCCACCUGCCCCGGGGCGACCCGGGGCGAUAUGUAAACCCCACCCGGCGCAAGAUAACGAAAGGCAAAGAACGCGUUUCGGCGCGUUCCAAAAGGUUGCCCGCCGCCUUUCAGACUACAUCGCUUGAACGGCGCGGCGACGCGCCGUGUAGACAGAUGUUCAUCCAAGACAGAACUCGGCUUACAGGUCAGUCUCUUUUC